CGAUUAGCCCGUUGGUGAGGUAACGGCCCACCAAGGCUGAGAUCGGUAGCCGGUCUGAGAGGACGCACGGCCACACUGGAAAUGAGACACGGUCCAGACUCCUACGGGAGGCAGCAGUGGGGAAUCUUCCGCAAUGGACGAAAGUCUGACGGAGCAACGCCGCGUGUAUGAUGAAGGUCUUCGGAUUGUAAAGUACUGUGCUUUGGGGAAGAACGGUCGGUUUGAGAAUAUUGAAUCGACAUGACGGUACCCAAGGAGGAAGCCCCGGCUAACUACGUGCCAGCCGCCGCGG
rnacentral:rRNA from 1 species